rnacentral:rRNA from 1 species
GACGAACGCUGGCGGCGUGCUUAACACAUGCAAGUCGAACGGAAAGGCCCUGCUUUUGUGGGGUGCUCGAGUGGCGCACGGGUGAGUAACACGUGAGUAUCCUGUCCUUGUCUUUGGGAUAACUUCAGGAAACUGGGGCUCAUACCGGAUAUGAGCUCCUGCUGCAUGGUGGGGGUUGGAAAGUUUCGGCGGUUGGGGAUGGACUCGCGGCUUAUCAGCUUGUUGGUGUGGUAGUGGCUUACCAAGGCUUUGACGGGUAGCCGGCCUGAGAGGGUGACCGGCCACAUUGGGACUGAGAGACGGCCCAGACUCCUACGGGAGGCAGCAGUGGGGAAUAUUGCACAAUGGGCGGAAGCCUGAUGCAGCAACGCCGCGUGCGGGAUGACGGCCUUCGGGUUGUAAACCGCUUUCGCCUGUGACGAAGCGUGAGUGACGGUAAUGGGUAAAGAAGCACCGGCUAACUACGUG